GGAAGCAGACUCUUCUGGAAGCAGCGAGGAACAUGUUCUCCACCUGCGAGGCAGCUAAGGCGCCUCUGAGGCUCUCAGCAGGACCAAAGUGUUGGCUAGCAGCUGCCAGGAGUCCCACAGGGCGACAACACCAAGCGUCAGAGGAAACCAACCUGCAUGUUUACUGCUGAGGUCUAUUAAAAGUUUACAAGGUCCUGGAAAGAGGUCGCUUCUUUUUAGCCGCGGCGCUGCUGAAUAAGGGCUGAAGGAGACCUGCUCUCUGAGUAGAAAACAACGUUUGUGUUUGAGCAACAGCUCUGCCGGCUA